CGGCAGUCUUCAAAAUAUCCUUUGCAUUUCGUUGCUUUGAUCUAAAAACUAAGGAGUAGAAAAAUGCACGCUCCUUGUUUGGCGAAUCAACUUAGCUGCGAUUUGUUCCUCUCAUUUUGGCAAAAUACUGCAUCAUUGAUCUAAAUCAUUGAUCAACUCUUCGCACACGGCGGGCAAUGUUUCAGGCAUAACAACCGUGUGCGGUAGGCCUAGCAACGCUAGUAACAAAUUUAAUUUGCGUCUGGUCGAAAGUCAACUAAGUCCUGGUCCUUCCUUCAGACAACAUUGAUCGAGAAUGGGCGAAAAUGAAAUAUGUUGACCGGUCUUAUUCUAGCCUUUCCUACACAUUGUGGAUCUGACUGGUUGGCUGGGUCCCGGAUCGCCUCAAUGAAAAUAAUCCCACGGAAAUGCAUUAAACCAAAUCGAUCCAAAGUAAUGAGAACAGCUGCCAAAUGUUUCUUAUUUUUCAUCUGUUUUAUUUUGUAAGGAGCAGCAAAACAAUACCAACCAAAUAAAAAGUUCUUUCUAUAUUUUAA